GAUCGAACAUGCAAACCAAGGGCGACCCGGGGACGCAAAGCCACGGGACUCCCGCGAAGGAGUUCGCCGGGUUGCCGAG
rnacentral:ncRNA from 1 species